UGGGGUGUCGCCAAGUGGUAAGGCCAUGAACUUUGACUUCAUUAUUCGGGGGUUCAAGUCCUUCCAUCUCAG
rnacentral:tRNA from 1 species